GCUGUAGCUCAGUGGUAGAGCCCAUGUUUUAUAUGCAAAAGGAGCAAGGUUCAAUCCUUCGGUAUCUGCA